GGCCCAACGGAAAGAAAAAGUAUAUGUUGAAGCAUAUAGUAUGGGCAGCAAAUGAAUUGGACAGAUUUGGAUUAGCAGAAAGCC
rfam:Simian immunodeficiency virus isolate SIVsmR95117, complete genome.